CUGUGUACUUUAUUGUGGGACGUCGUGUUAUCAUGAAUGAAAAGUUUUAUUGGGUAAUGCAAUUGCUUAAGGAAUAACACGUGAUGUGCAGUUAGCCAAUCAGAAUUACGUUUUAUAGUGAAACAUACAUCUAAUGUAAUUAUUAGUAAACCAAGUUUGGGGAACUGUUAAUCAUGGUAAAUUACUUUUAACUAUAGGGACGAGUUGUCAGGGAUUCAUAUGUCCUGCGUGUUUUUAUGUCUUUACAUAUAGGUAUCUAACAGUUUAUUAGGGACGAGUUGUCAGGGAUUCAUAUGUCCUGCGUGUUUUUAUGUCUUUACAUAUAGGUAUCUAACAGUUUAUUCUUCAUUAGUUUGAUUAGUGGGUCUUUUUCUUAACUAGAUUACUCUCCUAUGCAUUUGAGCGACGAGUUUACAUAUCUUUAUUUAUCAGCAUAUAAACUAUUCUCCAUCAGUUGGGCGAUUGUGCAAUGGAGCGAGAUGUCUUUAAUUCCAGUGUAUGAUACAGACAAGUAAGUUUAUAUUGAAUGUGAUAUGCAAUAUGAUGCAGUUAGUAUAUUUAAUUUUAUUAAGUCAUAUUUGGUAUUGACCAGUUAUUUUGGUGAACAGUUAGGUUGACAUUGUUUUAAGCGAUACAUUUGGCUAAAUUU
rnacentral:lncRNA from 1 species